rnacentral:rRNA from 1 species
GAUGAACGCUAGCUACAGGCUUAACACAUGCAAGUCGAGGGGAAGCGACAUCGAAAGCUUGCUUUUGAUGGGCGUCGACCGGCGCACGGGUGAGUAACGCGUAUCCAACCUGCCCACCACUUGGUGAUAACCUUGCGAAUGUAAGACUAAUACCCAAUGACGUCUCUAGAAGACAUCUGAAAGAGAUUACAGAUUUAUCGGUGCUGGCGGGGGAUGCGUCUGAUUAGCUUGUUGUCGGGGUACCGGCCCACCACGGCGACGAUCAGUAGGGGUUUUGAGAGGAAGGUGCCUCACAUUGGAACUGAGCCACGUGCGAAACACCUACGGGAGGCAGCAGUGAGGAAGAUUGGACAAUGGAAGAGAGUAUGAACCAGCCAAGUAGCGUGCAGGAUGACGGCCCUAUGGGUUGUAAACUGCUUUUAGAAGGGAAUAAAGGGAGGCUAGUGAGACUUUUUGCAUGUACCGGAUGAAUAAGGACCGGCUAAUUCCGUG